GUUGUAUGGUUAAGUGACUAAGCGUACACGGUGGAUGCCUUGGCAGUUGGAGGCGAUGAAGGACGUAUUAACUUGCGAUAAGCCUAGUCAAGCUAGUAAAAAGCACUUGAGACUAGGAUUUCCGAAUGGGGAAACCCACCUGCUUGCAGGUAUCGUUAACUGAAUACAUAGGUUAACGAGGCGAACGCGGAGAACUGAAACAUCUAAGUACCCGUAGGAAAAGAAAUCAACCGAGAUUCCGGAAGUAGCGGCGAGCGAAACCGGAACAGCCCUUAAGCUUAUUAUGUGUUAAUGGAAGGCGCUGGAAAGCGCCACGAUACAGGGUGAUAGUCCCGUACAUGAAAAGACAUUUUAAGUGAAAUCGAGUAGGUCGGAGCACGUGAAACUUUGACUGAAUAUAGGUGGACCAUCAUCUAAGGCUAAAUACUCCCAACUGACCGAUAGUGAACCAGUACCGUGAGGGAAAGGCGAAAAGAACCCCUGUGAGG
rnacentral:rRNA from 1 species